UACAGGGGGGGCAAGCGUUGUUCGGAAUUACUGGGCGUAAAGGGUCUGUAGGUGGCCAACUAAGUCAGACGUGAAAUCCCUCAGCUUAACUGGGGAACUGCGUCUGAUACUGGAUGGCUCGAGUGUGGGAGAGGAAUGCGGAAUUCCAGGUGUAGCGGUGAAAUGCGCAGAUAUCAGGAGGAACACCAAUGGCGAAGGCAGCUCGCUGGGACGUGACUGACGCUGAGGUGCGAAAGCGUGGGGAGCAAACAGG
rnacentral:rRNA from 1 species